rnacentral:pre_miRNA from 1 species
AGUGGGAUAGUUGGGUGAAAUGGUGGUUCCAUUCCAAGUUUUCUAAGGAAUCUCCAUACUACUUUCCAGACUGGUUGCACCAAUUUGCAGUCCCACCAACUAU